rnacentral:rRNA from 1 species
CGGAAGAGGGGAACCCUGAAAAACGGCUACCCCAUCCAGGAAGGGCAGCAGGCGCGCAAAUUACCCAUUCCCGACACGGGGAGGUAGUGACAAUAAAUACUGAUACGGGGGCUUUUUGGGUCUCGUAAUUGGAANGAGUACAAUCUAAAUCCCUUAACGAGGAACAAUUGGAGGGCAAGUCUGGUGCCAGCAGCCGCGGUAAUUCCAGCUCCAAUAGCGUAUAUUAAAGUUGUUGCCGUUAAAAAGCUCGUAGUUGAACCUUGGGCCUGGCUGACCUGUCCUCCUAAUCGAGCGCACGGGUUCGGUCGGGCCUUUCCUUCUAGGGAACCCCAUGCCCUUCACUAGGUGUGGUGGGGAACUAGGACUUUUACCUUGA